rnacentral:lncRNA from 1 species
ACCAUGUUAACAUCAGAGGAAAAGCAAACUGGGAGAAGAAAGGACAACGUUGUUUUCUAUCUUGAAGGCCUGCGUAGACAUAGGACCAGGAAGGGGAGCUAGGAGUGGGAGAAGUGCCUGUGACUGAUAUAUGCACUAUCAGAUAGAAAUCCAGUUCAAAAGGAAAUCUGAAAUAGUGAAAUAGCAGAAAUCAUGACUUACAUACUGUAUAAUCUGCUCUAAAACACAAACAUUUGAAUUCAAAAUGUGUUAAAUGCAAAACAGUUCUACUUACAAAAUGAAUCUUUCAGUAAAUUCUAAAUGCAGCUGAAAAAUGAUACACAUGAAAUGUGUGAAAACAGUGCAAGUUAAGUUUGAUUUUUUGUUGUAUACAAAACUGAAGAACUUGUAUCCAAUUCAUUUUCUGGAUGCACAGUGUUAUUGGAAUUUUUUUCAGAUAAUUUAAAAUUCUACAAGGUGAAGAAAUUUCAAAUAGUAUCUCAAGAAAAAAAGUUUGCACAAUGAAUUGUUAUUGGAAUUUUUUCCAGAUAAUUUAAAAUUCUACAAGGUGAAGAAAUUUCAAAUAGUAUCUCGAGAAAAAAAGUUUGCACAAUGAAUUGUUUUUCAAAAAU